rnacentral:tRNA from 1 species
GGUGACUCAGCGGUAGAGUGCUUGCCUUGCAUUCAUGAGACCCUGGGUUUGAUUCCUAGGCACCA